GUUUAAAGUGAAAGUACGUUACUAAGGGGAUACUCAGUGCAGCAUACUCAGUUUAUAAUUGCUGUUAUACAAUACGGAUAUGAGCUUAAUGCAAAGUUCUGGAAUCACCAUAUUUCAAAGGAUACUGUUGAGAGAGGGUUUUUUGUUCGUGAAUUAAAUAGAGGAAAUAUGACAGGUGUAACAGGCGAUUUUGAAGGUUUGGAAAACUUUAAUUUGGAAGACCUCCAUGAAUUGCGACAUGAAGAAAAGGAAGAAGUUAAAAAACAGAUUGAAGCCAUAUAUAUUGAGGCAACCUCUUUGGAGAAAAAAGCCAGAGAAUUGGCAUGUGAUACAAAUUCAAAACAGUAUAUUCUUCGCCACGCACAAACCUUAACAGAAAAAGCAAAUGAGAUGAAAGAAAAGAUAUGCUUAGCAUCAGGGAAAUCAUUCCAAACACCUGAUGAACUACAAAUUGCUAUAAAGCAAUCCAUAGCUUCAAACGAGGAACAAACAUUAAUAGUUGAGAGACUUAAGAGGAACUGUUCAUCCCAUGGCUUAGAAUACAGAGGUCAAACACCAGGGAAUGGGAAUUGUUUUUUUGAAGCAAUCACAUGCCAGCUAGAUAGAAUUGGCGCAGACGUUAUUGCUCCCGAACAAUUAAGAACAAAUGUUGUAAACUACAUAUCAACACAUCCUAGUUUUGAGGGCAGUCAAGGCAUUGUGUUAUUAGAAAACUUCGUUGAAGACAAUUUUCCGGACUACUGUGACAGGAUGUUACAGAAUGGAGAGUACGCAGACCAUGUUGUGGUCAUUGGAAUGUCCAGAAUGCUACAGAGAGACAUAGUUAUUGUCACCAGUGCUCCCAGUACCAAUAAUGAGGAUAGUGUCCUUUGGGUAACUGGUUGUGAUGGUUUUUCCGGUAAUCCUAUUCUUCUUGGGCACAUUUUCGAAAACCACUACCAGUCACUCCAGCCAAAAGGUGACAGUGGCAAACUUGAUCACCACACGAAUGAUAAGCAUGCAACAAAUGAUGAUAACCUUUUUAUUCCUGUUGAUGUGUGCAACGAAGAACUCAGCAACUAUAACAUGACACAUGAUGUUGAAGAUAUGCCAUUCGUAGAGUUUGUGAGAUCCACCUUCAUCAAAAAACGGAAAAAUGGUACUGAUUGCAUUGUUAGACGUUUAAGAAAUGAAGUGGACAACGAAGACGUCAUAACCAAGCAUUUAAUGGAUAUAACAAUCACAGGGAAUUUUAUUCACAGGAAAGCAAAUAAAACCACAUUGCAAUACAGGUGUGAAAGAUGUAAUAAACCAAGAGGAAAAAAACAGGUCCUUUGAAUACCAGGGCAAAUAAUUGUCAGGCAUAUGUGUCAUUCCAAUUUUUGACCCAUUUGAGUAAAAAAGCAGUAAUAAUUCGGCAACAACUAAAACACAAUGGACACAGUUUACAGAUAAAAGAGGAAAAACACCAAUCACGCCCAGAUCACAGCUUACUGCUUUAUAUAGAUGCUUUACUUGAUCAGGGGAAAAAACCCAUGGAAAUAUUGUGCAAAGCAUGGAAAUGGGCUAGAGAUCAAGGGCAUUUUGAUGUGCACGAUAGAAGAUACUAUCUGACACCAGUUGACAUUAAGAAUAUAUGUCAACGUUACAAAAUGGAUAAAAGAAUUCACCAGAAUGAUGCUGUAGCUGUACACGAGCUAUGCACACAAAUACUGAAGGAAGAGAUAAUUUUCUACCAAGAAUUGAAAGAGCUGUGUACAGAUUUUUGAAUAAAAAAGAAUCUGGUGUAUCAGGACCCAUGCACGCACAUACCAGAAAAAAAGUUAUUGACUAUAUUAGAACUAUGAAAAUAUGUAGCAAG